UACAAUUGUAUUUUUCUUAAUUCAAAUUCUCUUACAACCUUUCUUGCGAAGCGUAAUCAGCAAUCUCUGAGAACGAAAAUGGCACAAAGAAGUUGUGGUUGUGGCGAUAACUGCAGCUGUGGCGACGACUGCAACUGCAACAGGAUGUAUUCCAGAAGCGAGUGUGGUUGUGGAGAUGACUGCAGCUGUGACCCUUGCAAUUGCGACUAAACUCUGAAAUCAAGCAGUUAUCAUCACUCUAUGGUGUAACCGAAUAUGUGUAGUUUGCUUUGAUUUUCCUCAAGUUUUUGGGUGUAUUGUGAACUGAAUAAAUAGGCCAUGUAUUGCAUCUUCAGAUUUGGCAUUUGUCUAGAUCGGUUGAUGUUUCAUAGAUGGUCUAGUGUAGUGUGAUUGUGUUUUUAAUUUCUUGUAAUGUUGUUUCCUAAAUUGAAAGAAAAAAAAGGUUGCCUAAAAGUUACCAAAAUAUAUUCUCUAUCUAA